CGAGGGGUAACAGAAGGAGCUUGCUCUUUGCUGACGACCGGCGCACGGGUGCGUAACGCGUAUACAAUCUACCUUAUACAGGAGGAUAGCCCUAAGAAAUUGGGAUUAAUACUCCAUAGUAUUUAUUUACCGCAUGGUAAAUAAAUUAAAACUCAGGUGGUAUAAGAUGAGUAUGCGUCCUAUUAGCUAGAUGGUAAGGUAACGGCUUACCAUGGCAACGAUAGGUAGGGGGCCUGAGAGGGUUAUCCCCCACACUGGUACUGAGACACGGACCAGACUCCUACGGGAGGCAGCAGUGAGGAAUAUUGGUCAAUGGAGGCAACUCUGAACCAGCCAUGCCGCGUGAAGGAAGAAUGUCCUAUGGAUUGUAAACUUCUUUUAUUUGGGAAGAACUCCCUCUACGUGUAGAGGGCUGACGGUACCAAACGAAUAAGGACCGGCUAACUCCGUGCCAGCAGCCGCGGUAAUACGGAGGGUCCAAGCGUUAUCCGGAAUCAUUGGGUUUAAAGGGUUCGCAAGCGGUUUAUUAAGUCAGUGGUGAAAGCCUACAGCUCAACUGUAGAACUGCCAUUGAUACUGAUAGACUUGAAUUUAGUUGAAGUAGGCGGAAUGUGUAGUGUAGCGGUGAAAUGCUUAGAUAUUACACAGAACACCGAUAGCGAAGGCAGCUUACUAAACUACGAUUGACGCUCAUGAACGAAAGCGUGGGGAGCGAACAGGAUUAGAUACCCUGGUAGUCCACGCAGUAAACGAUGAUUACUCGUUAUUGGCGAUAUACGGUCAGUGACUAAGCGAAAGUGAUAAGU
rnacentral:rRNA from 1 species